UGUUACGGAAAGCUCGCUGUGCCCACAUGC
rnacentral:piRNA from 1 species